ensembl:miRNA microRNA 147b
UAUAAAUCUAGUGGAAACAUUUCUGCACAAACUAGAUUCUAGACACCAGUGUGCGGAAGUGCUUCUGCUACAUUUUUAGG